GCCGAGCACUCCUACGGGAGGCAGCAGUGGGGAAUAUUGCACAAUGGGCGCAAGCCUGAUGCAGCCAUGCCGCGUGUAUGAAGAAGGCCUUACGGGUUGUAAAGUACUUUCAGCAGUGAGGAAGGUGGGUAUGUUAAUAGCAUAUUCAUUUGACGUUAGCUGCAGAAGAAGCACCGGCUAACUCCGUGCCAGCCAGCCGCGGUAAUACGGAGGGUGCGAGCGUUAAUCGGAAGUUACUGGGCGUAAAGCGCAUGCAGGUGGUUUGUUAAGUCAGAUGUGAAAGCCCGGGGCUCAACCUCGGAAUUGCAUUUGAAACUGGCAAACUAGAGUACUGUAGAGGGGGUAGAAUUUCAGGUGUAGCGGUGAAAUGCGUAGAGAUCUGAAGGAAUACCGGUGGCGAAGGCGGCCCCCUGGACAGAUACUGACACUCAGAUGCGAAAGCGUGGGGAGCAAACAGGAUUAGAUACCCUGGUAG
rnacentral:rRNA from 1 species